AGUCCAUCGGGGCUGGGCGCAAGGGAAACUUACCUCAGCUGGUUCGCGCGGAAGCGUUAUUGUGCUCGGCGGCAGCGGUUGUCGGCGGUUGUGGGGUGAGAAGCGGCUGGCGCGGCGCCGCUGUAGGAUAUGAAAGAUGGCAAGUCCAGAUAGAAGUAAACGGAAGAUUUUAAAAGCAAGAAAAACAAUGCCUGCAAGUUGCCGGAAGCAAGCAGAGAUCCUGAAUAAGUCAAAGAAUGUUGAAGCACUAAAAACAGCAGCAAUUGGGAAUAAUGUGUCAAGUAGUAAUCAGAAUUCAAGUACUGAUGUCAUAAGUAGCAAAUGUAGACAUUCUGAAAAUGAUGCUUCCUCUUUGGACUCUAUAAAAAAUUCAGUAUGUGCACCAAAAAGUAAAGUAUUUUCUCAGAACUUAAUAAAACCACUAGAAAUUGUUGAUUCGAAAACAAGAUUAGAAUACACUGAAGAACAAGUUGUGUACCCUUAUGAAAAGCCAAGUAAAACAGUAGAAUCUCCCAGGAAACUCUUCACACAAGACGCAAAAGAUUCACAAAACACUUCUGAAAGCCAUUUUGAAUGUCAGGCAAGUGUAACACGAUCCAUUUUUGAACAUGAAGAGGAUUGUAAUCUGAAAUCCAUUUGCUGUCCAUCCAGUGUAUUGAGUGGUGUAGUUCAGAUGUCAAAGUCUACAAUAACCAAUACCUUGGAUGAUAAGAGAACUGACAAGAUAGUUUCCUAUUUAGAAACAAACUCCAAUUCUGAGUUUCGUGAUAAAAGACAAAAUAACACUUUAACUUUAAAUUCAGAUAUCCCUUUUGUGCCUGUUGAUAAAAUACCUAACUUGGUAAAUUCAGUCAUUUCUAGUAACUGUGCUGCUGACAUUUUGAAAAGUGAAGAAUCCUGUAGAACCUGUCAUUCCAGCAUUUUAAGUUGUGAAAGUACAGAUGCAAAGUGGCUGUCCUCAUUUGACACUGAUAGUAAUAACAGCCAUAAUCAAAAGAAGAGGACGUUUUCAGAACACAAAGAAAAUGUUAAGCGUGUGAAAACUUCAGAGCAAGUUAAUGAAAAUAUUUCUCUAGCUCUGGGAAAGCAAACAGCAUUGCUGGAACAGGUCGGACAUUUGAUUCGACAGGAGAUCUGUAGUAUAAAUUACAAACUAUUUGAUAACAAACUGAAAGAAUUGACUGAACGCAUUGGGAAGACACAGUGCAGGAGUAAACAUGAAGCAAUAGCUGAUGAACUCUUUACAAAAAUAAAAAAACUUCAAAGACGUAUUAGAACAGUAAUGUUAUCUCGAAGGAAUUGUGUGGAACCAAACGUGGUAUCCAGCAAUACAGCUUGUAAGGUUGCAAAUUCAGAGACUAUGAAUUUGGAUAAGAAUCCAGAGUCAGUUAAUAGUCCACAGGAAAGAAAAACUUCUGUGAACGCUGAACCUUCUAACCCUUCAGAAAAAGCAAGUGAAAAGAUUAAUUUGUCACGGGAACAUAAUGAGGCUGUUUCUGAAAGUAAAGAUGAUAUCAUGUUGAUUUCUGUGGAAAGUCCUAAUUUGACAACUCCAAUUACAUCAGAUCCAACAGAUACUGGAAAAAUUACAUCAGGAAAUUCUAACAAUUCACCUGAUGCUGAAACUGAAGCUAUGGCUAAAGAGAAGAAACUUGAUUCUGUGAUUGAUCUAACGAAAGAAGGCCUGUCACACUGCAACACAGCUCCCAGGGGCUCAGCUUUGGAUUUGGCCCCGCCUCUGCAUGUAGGUCGCCGGAGUGCGUCUGUUCUUCGCUCAGACAGGACGGGGUUAAAGGAGCAGCUGAUUCAGGGGCUCUGGUUCGCUCAGGCCAGGGGGAGGGUGGUCCAUGGAGUGUGGGGGGAACCUGCGGCAGCAGAGACCGGCGUGACAUUGCACCAGCCUGAGGAAACAAAGAGGGAAGUAAAAGUCUCUUGCCUCUUCGGCAGGUCCAGACUUUUCCCAGAUUCCCUCCCAGCUAGCCGUGGUGCACUAACCCCCUGCGGGCUGUGUUCACACCGCAAACCCCAGCCCUCUCCCUGGGCUCUGACCGAAGCCCGAGCCUCAGCUCCCAGCCCCGCCCGCCCCAGCAGAACUUCUGCUGCCAGUGUCCUUGUCUCCACGGUGAGCCACAGCCACCCCCCGCCUCUGCAGGAGACCCUCCAACACUAGCAGGUAGGUCUGGUUCAGUCUCCUGUGGGGUCACUGCUCCUUCCUCUGGGUCCUGAUGUGCACACUACUUUGUGUGUGCCCUCCAAGAGGGGAGUCUCUGUUUCCCCCAGUCCUGUCGAAUUCUGCAGUCAAAUCCCACUAGCCUUCAAAGUGUGAUUCUCAAGGAAUUCCUCCCCCCAUUGCCAGACCCCCAGGUUGGGAAGCUGGACAUGGGGCUCAGACCCUUCACUCCAGUGGAUGGUCUCCUAUGGUAUAAUUGUUCUCCAGUUUGUGAGUCACCACCUAGCGGUUAUGAGAUUUGAUUUUAUUGUGAUUGCGCCCCUCCUACCGCCUCACUGCGGCUUCUCCUUUGUCUUUGGAUGUGGGGGUAUCUUUUUUGGUGAGUUCCAGUGUCUUCCUGUCAAUGAGUGUUCAGCAGUUAGUUGUGGUUCUGCUGCUCUCGCAAGAGGGAGUGAGCACACAUCCUUUUACUCUGCCAUUUUGAACCAAUCUCUCAUGCAUCGAUUCUCUUACAAUUAAAAGCGUAAAAUCAUUACCUUUACAAAAACGUAUUUUAACACCAGUAAAUAAAGCGAUUAAUAAGUUAUCUUUGAAACAGUGUAGAAUCUCAAUUAUCCUUGUCAGUUAAAAGAAAAAUACAAGUAAAAAAUUUUAUUGGGGGAGAUUCUUAAAGUACGUUAAACAGUUAUAUCACUGCACACACAGUGGAUUAAAAAUGAUUUUUGCUGCUUAUUAGAUAUGUUCAAACUUCUGAAAUUUUUAGCUGUCUGGUCCUAUUACUUUCCAACAUGGAGGCACUUUUCUUACUAUCCCCAUGAUACUUUCCCCAGUUGUCCUCAAACCAUUCUUGUGCCUACUAAACCUUCUUUCUCUCCCUCACACCCACAUUUUCUCUAUUUUCCUCCUUUUCUUCUUCUAACCAUCUCUCUUUCUUCCAUUCUCUCUUCUGUCUCUCCUCCCUCCCCCUCCCUUUCAGCAGUCCACAAUUGAUGUCUAAUUCCCUCUAGGCUACCAUGGGAUACCUCCAACCCCAGCCUGCAUGAGUUUUAGUUUGAAUUCCCAGGCCUUGUUUGUAUCACACAUUCUUAUAGGAUUGUAAACAGUUCUGUGUUUGCAAACAUCCUUGUUGACCUAACAGAGCAAAAUCUGCCUCUAAGACUGCUAAGCAGGAAUCCCUCUACCAUGGGUAAUUUUUCCUAGUUCCCAGUUGCAUCAUGACAUCAGUGUUUACCUUGAGGAAUUUUUGUCACAUUAAAGAAAAAUUCUCUAUAUUUGAUACCUUUGCAUAUCAAAAGUUAUCUUCUUAUUUCACAGUUUUAUAAUUUUAGUUCACAUUUAAUUACUACCCAAGAUGUAAACUACUGUUUGCUUUAAAGGCUAUGGGACUGAUUAUUGUAGAUACAUUUUACUUUUAAACCUUCUGUUGUUCACAGAAAGUCCAGUAUCCAUGCUUGAGUCACCUACGAAAGCUAUUUCAAUCUCAAAAGAGACAACCCCAGAGGCACAAAAUGCAGCCCAGGUUCUUGAAUCCUUUGAGCACCUGCCACCUCUCCCAGAACUACCACCACUACUACCCGAACUGG